UCCUACGGGAGGCAGCAGUGGGGAAUAUUGCACAAUGGGGGAGACCCUGAUGCAGCGACGCCGCGUGAGUGAAGAAGUAUUUCGGUAUGUAAAGCUCUAUCAGCAGGGAAGAAGAAAGACGGUACCUGGCUAAGAAGCCCCGGCUAACUACGUGCCAGCAGCCGCGGUAAUACGCAGGGGGCACGCGUUAUCCGGAUUUACUGGGUGUAAAGGGAGCGUAGACGGCUGUGCAAGUCUGAAGUGAAAGCCCAGG
rnacentral:rRNA from 1 species